rnacentral:rRNA from 1 species
AGAGUUUGAUCCUGGCUCAGAUUGAACGCUGGCGGCAUGCCUUACACAUGCAAGUCGAACGGCAGCGCGGGGCAACCUGGCGGCGAGUGGCGAACGGGUGAGUAAUAUAUCGGAACGUACCCUGGAGUGGGGGAUAACGUAGCGAAAGUUACGCUAAUACCGCAUACGAUCUAAGGAUGAAAGUGGGGGAUCGCAAGACCUCAUGCUCCUGGAGCGGCCGAUAUCUGAUUAGCUAGUUGGCGGGGUAAAAGCCCACCAAGGCAACGAUCAGUAGCUGGUCUGAGAGGACGACCAGCCACACUGGAACUGAGACACGGUCCAGACUCCUACGGGAGGCAGCAGUGGGGAAUUUUGGACAAUGGGCGCAAG